GACGAACGCUGGCGGCGUGCCUAAUACAUGCAAGUAGAACGCUGAAGGAGGAGCUUGCUUCUCUGGAUGAGUUGCGAACGGGUGAGUAACGCGUAGGUAACCUGCCUGGUAGCGGGGGAUAACUAUUGGAAACGAUAGCUAAUACCGCAUAAGAGUAGAUGUUGCAUGACAUUUGCUUAAAAGGUGCAAUUGCAUCACUACCAGAUGGACCUGCGUUGUAUUAGCUAGUUGGUGGGGUAACGGCUCACCAAGGCGACGAUACAUAGCCGACCUGAGAGGGGGAUCGGCCACACUGGGACUGAGACACGGCCCAGACUCCUACGGGAGGCAGCAGUAGGGAAUCUUCGGCAAUAGACGGAAGUCUGACCGAGCAACGCCGCGUGAGUGAAGAAGGUUUUCGGAUCGUAAAGCUCGGUUGUAAGAGAAGAACGAGUGUGAGAGUGGAAAGUUCACACUGUGACGGUAUCUUACCAGAAAGGGACGGCUAACUACGUG
rnacentral:rRNA from 1 species